GGGUUGUGAGGUUAAGCGAAUAAGCGUACACGGUGGAUGCCUAGGCAAUCAGAGGCGAUGAAGGACGUGCUAAUCUGCGAAAAGCGUCGGUAAGGUGAUAUGAACCGUUAUACCCGACGAUAUCCGAAUGGGGAAACCCAGUAUCCAAUGGAUACUAUCAUUAACUGAAUCCAUAGGUUAAUGAGGCGAACCGGGAGAACUGAAACAUCUCAGUACCCCGAGGAAAAGAAAUCAACCGAGAUUCCCCUAGUAGCGGCGAGCGAACGGGGAGCAGCCCAGAGUCUUAAUCAAUAGCAGUGUCAGGAGAACGGUCUGGAAAGUCCGGCAGUAAAGGGUGAUAGCCCCGUAUCUGAAGAUGCUGUUAUUGUGAACUCGACGAGUAGGGCGGGACACGUGUUAUCCUGUCUGAAUAUGGGGGGACCAUCCUCCAAGGCUAAAUACUCCUGAUUGACCGAUAGUGAACCAGUACCGUGAGGGAAAGGCGAAAAGAACCCCGGCGAGGGGAGUGAAAAAGAACCUGAAACCGUGUACGUACAAGCAGUAGGAGCCUCUUUAUGGGGUGACUGCGUACCUUUUGUAUAAUGGGUCAGCGACUUAUAUUCUGUAGCAAGGUUAACCGUAUAGGGGAGCCGUAGGGAAACCGAGUCUUAACUGGGCGAAUGAGUUGCAGGGUAUAGACCCGAAACCCGGUGAUCUAUCCAUGGGCAGGUUGAAGGUUGGGUAACACUAACUGGAGGACCGAACCGACUAAUGUUGAAAAAUUAGCGGAUGACUUGUGGAUGGGGGUGAAAGGCCAAUCAAACCGGGAGAUAGCUGGUUCUCCCCGAAAGCUAUUUAGGUAGCGCCUCGUGAACUCAUCUUCGGGGGUAGAGCACUGUUUCGACUAGGGGGUCAUCCCGACUUACCAACUCGAUGCAAACUGCGAAUACCGAAGAAUGUUAUCACGGGAGACACACGGCGGGUGCUAACGUCCGUCGUGAAGAGGGAAACAACCCAGACCGCCAGCUAAGGUCCCAAAGUCAUGGUUAAGUGGGAAACGAAGUGGGAAGGCUCAGACAGCCAGGAUGUUGGCUUAGAAGCAGCCAUCAUUUAAAGAAAGCGUAAUAGCUCACUGGUCGAGUCGGCCCGCGCGGAAGAUGUAACGGGGCUAAACCAUGCACCGAAGCUGCGGCAGCGACACAAAGUGUUGUUGGGUAGGGGAGCGUUCUGUAAGCCUGCGAAGGUGUACUGUGAGGUAUGCUGGAGGUAUCAGAAGUGCGAAUGCUGACAUAAGUAACGAUAAUGCGGGUGAAAAACCCGCACGCCGGAAGACCAAGGGUUCCUGUCCAACGUUAAUCGGGGCAGGGUGAGUCGACCCCUAAGGCGAGGCUGAAAAGCGUAGUCGAUGGGAAACGGGUUAAUAUUCCCGUACUGGUGGUAACUGCGAUGGGGGAACGGAGAAGGCUAGGUUGUCCGGGCGACGGUCGUCCCGGUUCAAGCAGGUAGGCAGAGUGAUUAGGCAAAUCCGGUCACUUAAUGCUGAGAUGUGAUGACGAACCACCAAGGUGGUGAAGCAAUUGAUGCCCCGCUUCCAGGAAAAGCCUCUAAGCUUCAGGUUACCAACAAUCGUACCCCAAACCGACACAGGUGGUCAGGUAGAGAAUACUCAGGCGCUUGAGAGAACUCGGGUGAAGGAACUAGGCAAAAUGGUGCCGUAACUUCGGGAGAAGGCACGCUGGCGGUAGGUAAAGUCCCUCGCGGACGGCGCUGAAGCCAGUCGAAGAUACCAGCUGGCUGCAACUGUUUAUUAAAAACACAGCACUGUGCAAACACGAAAGUGGACGUAUACGGUGUGACGCCUGCCCGGUGCUGGAAGGUUAAUUGAUGGGGUUAGCGUAAGCGAAGCUCCUGAUCGAAGCCCCAGUAAACGGCGGCCGUAACUAUAACGGUCCUAAGGUAGCGAAAUUCCUUGUCGGGUAAGUUCCGACCUGCACGAAUGGCGUAAUGAUGGCCAGGCUGUCUCCACCCGAGACUCAGUGAAAUUGAACUC
rnacentral:rRNA from 1 species